AGCGAACGCUGGCGGCAGGCCUAACACAUGCAAGUCGAACGAACCCUUCGGGGUUAGUGGCGGACGGGUGAGUAACACGUGGGAACGUGCCUUUAGGUUCGGAAUAACUCAGGGAAACUUGUGCUAAUACCGAAUGUGCCCUUCGGGGGGAAGAUUUAUCGCCUUUAGAGCGGCCCGCGUCUGAUUAGCUAGUUGGUGAGGUAAUGGCUCACCAAGGCUACGGUCAGUGGCUGGUCUGAGAGGAUGACCAGCCACAUUGGGACUGAGACACGGCACCAACUCCGACGGGAGGCAGCCGUGGGGAAUCUUGCGCAAUGGGCGAAAGCCUGCCGCAGCCAUGCCGCGUGGAUGAUGAAGGUCUUAGGAUUGUAAAAUCCUUUCCCCGGUGAAGAUAAUGACUGUAGCCGGAGAAGAAGCCCCGGCUAACUUCGUGCCAGCCGCCGCAGUAACAC
rnacentral:rRNA from 1 species